rnacentral:rRNA from 1 species
GGUUAAGUGAAUAAGGGCGCACGGUGGAUGCCUUGGCACUAGGAGCCGAUGAAGGACGGGACUAACGCCGAUAUGCUUUGGGGAGCUGUAAGUAAGCUAUGAUCCAGAGAUUUCCGAAUGGGGGAACCCAGCAUCUUUGAUAGGAUGUUACGUUGAAGUGAAUUCAUAGCUUCAUCGAGGUAGACGCAGAGAACUGAAACAUCUAAGUACCUGCAGGAAGAGAAAGAAAAUUCGAUUCCCUGAGUAGCGGCGAGCGAAACGGGAAAAGCCCAAACCAAGAGGCUUGCCUCUUGGGGUUGUAGGACUCCGAUAUGGUAGUUUUUUCAGAUAGUCGAAUUACCUGGAAAGGUAAGUCAAAGAGGGUAACAACCCCGUAGACGAAAUUUGGAAGACACCUAGGAGGAUCCUGAGUACGGCGGAACACGAGGAAUUCCGUCGGAAUCCGGGAGGACCAUCUCCCAAGGCUAAAUACUCCCUAGUGACCGAUAGUGAACCAGUACCGUGAGGGAAAGGUGAAAAGCACCCCGGAAGGGGAGUGAAAUAGAUCCUGAAACCGUGUGCCUACAACAAGUUAGAGCCCGUUAAUGGGUGAUAGCGUGCCUUUUGUAGAAUGAACCGGCGAGUUACGAUUGCAUGCGAGGUUAAGUUGAAGAGACGGAGCCGCAGCGAAAGCGAGUCUGAAUAGGGCGCAUGAGUAUGUAGUCGUAGACCCGAAACCAUGUGAUCUACCCAUGUCCAGGUUGAAGGUGCGGUAAAACGCACUGGAGGACCGAACCCACGUACGUUGAAAAGUGCGGGGAUGAGGUGUGGGUAGCGGAGAAAUUCCAAUCGAACUUGGAGAUAGCUGGUUCUCUCCGAAAUAGCUUUAGGGCUAGCGUCGAAGUUAAGAAUGAUGGAGGUAGAGCACUGUUUGGACUAGGGGCCCAUCUCGGGUUACCGAAUUCAGAUAAACUCCGAAUGCCAUUCAUUCAUAUUCGGCAGUCAGACUGUGAGUGAUAAGAUCCAUAGUCGAAAGGGAAACAGCCCAGACCACCAGCUAAGGUCCCCAAAUAUAUGUUAAGUGGAAAAGGAUGUGGGGUUGCACAGACAACUAGGAUGUUGGCUCAGAAGCAGCCACCAUUUAAAGAGUGCGUAAUAGCUCACUAGUCGAGUGACCCUGCGCCGAAAAUGUACCGGGGCUAAACAUAUUACCGAAGCUGUGGAUUGUACCUUUGGUACAAUGGUAGGAGAGCGUUCUAAGGGCGUUGAAGGUAGAUCGUGAGGACUGCUGGAGCGCUUAGAAGUGAGAAUGCCGGUAUGAGUAGCGAAAGACAGGUGAGAAUCCUGUCCACCGAAUGACUAAGGUUUCCUGGGGAAGGCUCGUCCGCCCAGGGUUAGUCGGGACCUAAGCCGAGGCCGAAAGGCGUAGGCGAUGGACAACAGGUUGAUAUUCCUGUACCCGUUCGUUUUGUUUGAACGAUGGAGGGACGCAGGAGGCUAAGAAGUGCAGACUGAUGGAUAGGUCUGUUCAAGCAGUAAGUCUUGUGAUGAGUCAAAUGCUUAUCACUCUACGGACAAGCUGUGAUGAGGAGGGAACUAAUAGUACCGAAGCUUCUGAUGUCACACUGCCAAGAAAAGCUUCUAGUGAGAAACGAACGGCCCGUACCGCAAACCGACACAGGUAGUCGAGGAGAGAAUCCUAAGGUGUGCGAGAGAACUCUCGUUAAGGAACUCGGCAAAAUGACCCCGUAACUUCGGGAGAAGGGGUGCUGCUCUUACGAGCAGCCGCAGUGAAUAGGCCCAAGCGACUGUUUAUCAAAAACACAGGUCUCUGCAAAAUCGAAAGAUGACGUAUAGGGGCUGACGCCUGCCCGGUGCUGGAAGGUUAAGAGGAGUGCUUAGCGCAAGCGAAGGUACGAAUUGAAGCCCCAGUAAACGGCGGCCGUAACUAUAACGGUCCUAAGGUAGCGAAAUUCCUUGUCGGGUAAGUUCCGACCCGCACGAAAGGCGUAACGAUUUGGGCACUGUCUCAACGAGAGACUCGGUGAAAUUUUAGUACCUGUGAAGAUGCAGGUUACCCGCGACAGGACGGAAAGACCCCAUGGAGCUUUACUGUAGUUUGAUAUUGAGUGUCUGUACCGCAUGUACAGGAUAGGUAGGAGCCGUAGAAGUCGGGACGCUAGUUUCGACAGAGGCGCUGGUGGGAUACUACCCUUGCGUUAUGGCCACUCUAACCCGCAGCCCU